rnacentral:rRNA from 1 species
UUAAUUGAAGAGUUUGAUCAUGGCUCAGAUUGAACGCUGGCGGCAGGCCUAACACAUGCAAGUCGAACGGUAACAGGGAGCAGCUUGCUGCUCUGCUGACGAGUGGCGGACGGGUGAGUAAUGUCUGAGAAACUGCCUGAUGGAGGGGGCUAACUACUGGAAACG